rnacentral:lncRNA from 1 species
ACAGGUCCAUACACACAUUCUUUCUGUACCCAUACAUCCUUUAGCUGCCACACAUCCUUUAGCUAUCAGACGCAUCCCUUGAGCAACUGAGUGAUGGCAGACCAGUGCUUGACCAACUAGGGCACAUUCUCAGGGUUGAACCGUGAGGGAUUCGUCAAGAGGUAGAGUUUCCUGCAGUUUUAACUGUUGGAUGAACCUCUCAGCUGCUUGGUUUACUACUUAGCUGCUGUUUACCCAGGGAGCUCGAAUGUGCUGACUCUCCUAGGUCACUCAGACCUGGCUUCGGGAAGUCAUGGUUGUGGAUCUUGAUGCUCAGCUUGAUUGGAUUGAGGGUCACCUAGGAGAUUUGUAAGGGAUACUUCUAGGGGUGUCUCUGAGCACAUUUCCAAAAACAUUAUUACAUCAUAACUCUGACCUACACAAAGGUUUAAUCUAUGGAUGGAUUCAACAUUUGAAUGGAAGCUGGUAGAACUGUAGGAAGCAGGGCCUGGUUGGAGGCCCUGGGUCGCUGGACAUUUGCCUUUGAGGCAACACCGUAGCCCUGACUCCUCUGAUUUUUCCUGUUUUCUUCCUGGAUGUUACGGUGAUGCUUUCCUUUGCCAUGCCCUCCCUUCCGGAUAGUUCUCCCUUGCCAUGGUUGUAGAAGCAAUGGAGCCUGACGACUAUGGACUGAUUCCUCGGAAGCUGUGAGAGCCAAAGCAAACCCUUCUUCUGUGAGUUGUUUGACCAGAUAUUUGGAAAUAGCAAUCAAAAACAGUACCAGCAAGAAAAGGCCAACUACAGAAGAAGAAGGGAGAAAAGAAGAGAGGCACUGCAUUCCAGCUUAUUUCAGAGUGUCUUUUAGUUACAGAUUUAUAGAUAACAGAAACCCAAGAGGGGAUUUUCUAGUUUCCAUAGUCAAGAUGUAGGAAGACCCAGGAAGAGGCUGAGUUCGAAGAACCAGGGCCUUGAACUCACCCACACACUCCUAUGUCUGCCUCUCACCCUGUGGCUCUUGUACACAUUGGCUUUGUUUGUGUGUUUGUUUGUUUAAAUAGUGUCUGCUGUGGUCACAGCUCUGUUACACAUAUAAGAAAACACCUUUCCUUAAACUAAAGUUUAAAAAGUGUUAGGUUUGGCUAGCAUCAGGUGUCCACUUCUGAAUGGUCUCCAUGGCCAGGAGAUAGAAGCAGGAUGCUGGUUUCAUUUAGUUAAUGUGCAUUCAUCCUGUGUGUAGAGUAGGAUGAGGAAGCUGAAGAGAUGGGCCACCACAAUGGACAGCCUCCACUUCAAGUAUGAAAGGGACGUGAAGGGGGCGCUUCCCAUGAAGAAAAUGAGAGACAUCCUCUGAAGGGCUGAGAGGAGGCAUGGCAGGCUGAUGAAAUAGGUGAGCUCUGGGUAGUGAUUUGCAAGCCCUGGUAGGCUCAUGAUUAGUGGCCACACAUCUUCAUAAUGGGGACAAUGGAAACAAUGGCAUUGAAAGUCUUUGGAAAGACAUCUAGGUUCUUUCCAUCUCCUGGCUAUUAUAAAUAAGGCUGCUAUGAACAUAGUGGAGCAAUUGUCCUUAUUACAUGUUGGAGCAUCUUCUGGGUACAUGCCCAGGAGUGGUAUAGCUGGGUCCUUAGGUAGUACUAUAUCCAAUUUUCUGAGGAACUGCCAAACUGAUUUCUAGAGUGGUUAUAUCAGCUUGCAAUCCUACCAGCAAUGGAGGAGUGUUCCUGUUUCUCCACAUCCUCACCAGCAUCUGCUGUCACCUGAGUUUUUUAUUUUAGCCAUUCUGACUGGUGCGAGGUGGAAUCUCAGGGUUGUUUUGAUUUGCAGUUCCCUGAUGAUUUCUUAAACAUUUCUUUAGGUGCUUCUCAGCCAUAAGAUAUUCCUCAGGUGAAAAUUCUUUGUUUAGCUCUGUACUCCAUUUUUUCAUAGGGUUGUUUGGUUCUCUUGAGUCUAACUUCUUGAGUUCUUUGAUAUAUUGGAUAUUAGCCCUCUAUCAGAUGAAGGAUUGGUAAAGAUCUUUCCCCAAUCUGUUGGUUGCCUUUUUGUCCUAUUGACAGUGUCCUUUGCCUUACAGAAGCUUUGCAAUUUUAUGAGGUCCCAUUUGUUGAUUCUUGAUCUUAGAGCACAAGCCAUUGGUGCUCUGUUCAGGAAUCUUUCCCCCGUGCCCAUGUGUUCCAGGAUCUUCCCCACUUUCUCCUCUAUAAGUUUCAGUGUAUCUGGUUUUAUGUGGAGGUCCUUAAUCCACUUGGAUUCAAGCUUUGUACAAGGAGAUAAGAUGCUCUUCAACAGAGGAAUGGAUACAGAAAAAUGUGGGACAUUUACACAAUGGGGUACUACUCAGCUAUUAAAAAUGAUGGAUUGAUGAAAUUCUUAGACAAAUGGAUAGAACUAGAAAAUAUCAUCCUGAGUGAGGCAACCCAGUCGCAAAAGAACCCACAUGGUAUGCACUCACUGAUAAGUGGCUAUUAGCCACAAAGCUCCAAAUAACCAGGAUACAAUUCACAGACCACCUGAAGUUCAAUAAAAAGGCAGACCAAAGUGUGGGUGCUUCGAUCCUUCUUAGAAGGAGAACAAAAUACUCACAGGAGCAAAUAUGGAGAUAAAUUGUUGAGCAUAGACUGAAGGAAAGGCCACCAAGAGACUGUCCCACCUGGGGAUUCAUCCCAUAUACAGAUAUCAAACCCAGACACUGUUGUGGGUGCCAAGAGGUGCAUGCUGAAAGGAGCCUGAUAUGGCUGUCUCCUGAAAGGCCCUGCAGAGCCUUACAAAUACAAAGGUGGAUGUUCACAGCCAACCAUUGGACUGAGGGUAGAGUCCCCAAUAGAGGAGUUAGAGAAGGGACUGAAGGAGUUGAAGGAGUUUGCAACCCCAUAGGAAGAACAAUAAUAUCAACCAACCAGACCCCCCAGAACUCCCAGGGACUCAGCCAUCAACAAAGGAGUAUACAUGGCUCCAGCUGCAUAUGAAGCAGAGGAUGGCCUUGUCAUGCAUCAGUGGGAGGAGAAGUCCUUGGUCCUAUGAAAGCUUGAUAGAUGCCUCAGUGUAGGGAAAUCAAGGGUGGGAAGGUGAGUGGAGGAAUAGCCUCUUAGCUUAGAAGCAGGGAGAGGGAGGAUGUGAUAGGGUGUUUCUUGGAGGGAGGGAAACCAGGAAAGGAGAUAACAUUUGAAAUGUAAAUAAAGAAAAUAUCCAAUAAGAAAGAAAAACAAAAAAGAAAAAAUGAAAGAAUG